UACGGAGGGAGCUAGCGCUGUUCGGAAUUACUGGGCGUAAAGCGCGCGUAGGCGGCUUUGUAAGUUAGAGGUGAAAGCCCGGGGCUCAACCCCGGAAUUGCCUUUAAGACUGCAUCGCUUGAAUCCGGGAGAGGUGAGUGGAAUUCCGAGUGUAGAGGUGAAAUUCGUAGAUAUUCGGAAGAACACCAGUGGCGAAGGCGGCUCACUGGCCCGAUACUGACGCUGAGGUGCGAAAGCGUGGGGAGCAAACAGG
rnacentral:rRNA from 1 species